UACGUAGGGUGCGAGCGUUAAUCGGAAUUACUGGGUGUAAAGCGCGCGUAGGCGGGAGGCCAAGUCUGUGGUGAAAUCGCUCGGCUUAACUGGGCGGGGUCCAUGGAAACUGGUCACCUGGAGGUCGGUAGAGGCAAGUGGAAUUCCCGGUGUAGUGGUGAAAUGCGCAGAUAUCAGGAGGAACACCGGUGGCGAAGGCGGGUCUCUGGGCCGAUACUGACGCUGAGGAGCGAAAGCGUGGGGAGCGAACAGG
rnacentral:rRNA from 1 species